rnacentral:rRNA from 1 species
UACGUAGGGGGCAAGCGUUGUCCGGAAUCAUUGGGCGUAAAGAGCGCGUAGGCGGCCCGAUAAGUCCGCUGUGAAAGUCAAGGGCUUAACCCUUGAAUGCCGGUGGAAACUGUCGGGCUAGAGUCCGGAAGAGGCGAGUGGAAUUCCUGGUGUAGCGGUGAAAUGCGCAGAUAUCGGGAGGAACACCUGUGGCGAAAGCGGCUCGCUGGACCACAACUGACGCUGAUGCGCGAAAGCUAGGGAGCAACAGGG